UACGUAGGGUCCGAGCGUUGUCCGGAAUUACUGGGCGUAAAGGGCGCGUAGGCGGCAGGGCAAGUCAGGUGUGAAAGCCCCGGGCUCAACUCGGGAACUGCAUCUGAAACUGCUUUGCUUGAGUCCUGGAGGGGGUAGUGGAAUUCCCAGUGUAGCGGUGAAAUGCGUAGAUAUUGGGAGGAACACCGGUGGCGAAGGCGGCUACCUGGACAGUGACUGACGCUGAGGCGCGAAAGCUAGGGGAGCGAACGGG
rnacentral:rRNA from 1 species